ACGAGCAAAGUCGCAUGCCCUCGAGCGAGAACGACUCGCACGCUAGACUCCCUGCCCUCGUUCGUCGCCGCCUUCAUCCCUUCGCCUCCGCCGCCCUUCAUCCCUUCGCCGCUGCACUCGGUCUCACAUCAAAGGCGCCCCACUCGCGGGAGAGGAUGAGCUGAUCUCCAUGGCCAGAUGAGGGAGGAAUACGGGUGACGGGAUGGAUUUGGAUCUCAAGGCGGGGAGGCCAACGUAGCCGCCCCUAGCGCGUCGAGCGAAAGCGAAGGAUUUGGAUCUCAUGGAUUUGGCUGCGUCGACCAGCAGAGGACCGCCGCCGGCUCGGCUCCUCCACCACAAAGCAACCUCCUUCCACCCCGUAGCCGCCGCCCAAAACCCUAGCAAUCGAGCCCCACCCAUGGCGCCCUAGGUGGUACAGCGGCCAGAGGAGAGGAGAGGAGAGGAGGUGGAGCAGCCAUCGCCUAGACGUGAGCAGCAUCUUGUGCAUGCAUCCAUUGAGGACGUGAGCGAUGGCAGCGGUGAAUGGGCAGCGCGGGCGUCGAGCAGGAUCAUGGGGGAGCAGGGGAGGCCAGAGGCUGCUCACCAUAUACAUCGCCAUCCAUAGCCUCCCUCGUCCGCCAAGAAGCUGAGGAGGGAGGCUGACCUCCAGUGACCACUCUGCACCGCUCUGGACGACACCCUCCCCCACCAGAGAGAAAGUGCAAAAGCUAUGGGCAAUCCUAUAUGACUGGCGCCAUCAGUAAGGAUUUAUUUAAAGCUAGCUUACUUUUGGGUCUAAGCCAAGUUUAUUUCUUUCGCAGAUUUAUUCACCUUAUUGGGACGGUGGGGUUAAUAUAUAUACAUCAACUUUGAGCAUCAGCAACGCAUGAAGCUUGCUUCUGAGGCUGCAACAUACUUUGCAAUCCCCCUGUGAAACAUACUUUUGUCACUAUGCACAUAUGGUUAUUCGAACGAAUUGAUUUCGAUUAGACUAUCUUUUUCCUAAUUACUUGUUAUAUGAUGUUCUUUACUAUUCAGAGGUUGUUGAAGGGAGAUGGGGCUCUUCUGGCCCCUUUGGUGCAAAAGCACAAGCAACAGCAUCUACAGCUGACCACUCAUAGCCUAGGAUGUCCUGCAGAUUUGAUCUAUUUUGGAUAGAGACAUGGAAUCAAACCACAGGAUACCCAAGCAGUGCGUACAAAUUGUAGUGGUGCUUGUAGCUUAUCAUCAAUCUGCCAUUAUUAUUUGUAUGUUGAAUGGGCGCUUUAUAUUUUAGGGCGGAAGACUGAAGCAAAGAAAACUGCGGCUCUUUAGUAUAUCUUCAGAUUUGCGGCUCUUUGAGCUGUGGUACAUUUGAUUCGAGACCCGGAUGAGGUUGGUUUUACGUUUCUUAUUGGAAGAGUGAGAUGCCCAGGACAGAAUCCAGUUUGUAUCAACGCCUCAUUGAAUAGAAUCAUGUAGAUUCUGCUUCAUACAAGCUUCAUAAAGAAAUAGUUUUAACGGAGGACUUCAAAGAGUAUUUUGCCAAAUUUGGUAAAGUGCGGGGAUGGAGGGCAGUCAGCAUCCACCUCGAGGCAGAGGGGUGGGCAGAAGGACGGUCGGUGUUCAACUCUCUACGGUUCAAAACCAAGUCCAUCCAAGCCUCAAAGUAUAAAGAAGGCGCCUAGACACUCGAUGGGUGGUGUAAACCGUAGGGUGUCCAUUGGUGGAGCCAUGAUGCAAGCAUCCAAAACAGACAUAUUGUAUACGAAGAAUGUUCAUGCUGCCAAGAGAAGUGAAGACAUUGCCCAUUUGUCCCCUGGAUGGGCGUGUAACUAGAGAACAAAACACUAUGGCGGCAAAUGAGACUAUCGAACCGAACUGAUUGUACUGAAAACUAGGACCUAAACUUGUGCUGCUGGCCAACCUUUUCUUCAGGGAAUGCCAAGAUAUUCGCCAAACAAAGCCAUAGGAUGGUGCUAUACACAGAGGACAACCUAUCAGGGAGUCCACUAAUGACCAGAUGGGUAUCUUGUCGCUCAUCUACAGCAAGUCGGGCUCCAGUGUGUUUGGGUCAGCGUCCACGGAGGAGCAGAUAACUGACGACAUUUACGCUGCCGGGCUCACUAUCCUCAUCACACAUGACCACAACCCACCCAACCGACUGUUACAAUGGUCGUGGAGCUUCUUGGAUUAAAAUUGCAAAGAGUAGUACUGGAAAGCUUCAUUUUCGUAAGAUGCUCUGGUAUUUCCGAGUAGAAGAAAGCAAAGCCAACAAGGGUCGUUAGAAAUUAUUAGUACUCUACAAAAUUUGUAACACAUCAUAUUAAUUGGGAACUCAAAUCUUGGUUGCAAAAAUUAGAUCUGUGCUAUAAAUGCAGGCAAUACAAAAGGUAGGAAGACCAUACGAAGACCAAUACAAAAAGGAGGAUGCAUGAGCUUCAGAUCUGAUUGAAUUUAGUCAGAAGAUGGAGACUUGAAGGAGGAAUUAGUGGAGAAUGGGAAGGUGGAUAGAACAUGGGAACAAAUCAAAUACGUGUAGUAUUCCUAUGAGGGGAGUGAGUGGAGACAGAAAUGAGUGCACGUGGAGCAGCUGCUGCCUAUGAGGCGAGUGAGUGGAGACGGCCAGAUCUAUGCGGCGGAGGGGCUAUAGAAGCUUGAACGAAAGAUUCGUCGCCAGCAUCGGAGCAAUUUAUUGGGCAGAUCGACACUAAAUCUCCUGCAUGGACGUGAAGGCAUGCCUUUAUUAAGUUCAAUCUUUGAAAACUUGGCAUGUGACGCUGUGUAAAAAUAGAAGAUGCUAGAAAAUUGUCUCUGGCCAAUUUCGUAUGUAGCCGUGAGCAUUGCUAAUUUCUGUCAACAUGAACGAUAUUUGGUCUGUUUAUAUAGCUACCAUGUGCUGAACAAAUUGUCUGAUUAAUGUAAUACUCCUGAAUAGAUUGGUGUGCGUGCCAUGUCAUUUGGUCUGCGUUACACUAACAGAAUCAUUUUGUCAAUGGCUGGUCCAUUAAUACUCUUUCAAAAUUU